GACGAAGGAUGCAAGCGUUAUCCGGAUUCAUUGGGUUUAAAGGGAGCGUAGGCGGAUUGGUAAGUCAGUGGUGAAAUCUAUGGGCUCAACUCAUAGUCUGCAUCGGAAACUGCCGGGCUUGAGUGUGGGAGAGGUGAGUGGAAUUCCUGGUGUAGCGGUGAAAUGCGUAGAUAUCAGGAGGAACACCUGUGGCGAAAGCGGCUCACUGGACCAUAACUGACGCUGAUGCACGAAAGCUAGGGGAGCAAACAGG
rnacentral:rRNA from 1 species